rnacentral:rRNA from 1 species
UACGAAGGGUGCAAGCGUUACUCGGAAUUACUGGGCGUAAAGCGUGCGUAGGUGGUUCGUUAAGUCUGAUGUGAAAGCCCUGGGCUCAACCUGGGAAUGGCAUUGGAAACUGGCGACCUAGAGUGCGGUAGAGGGUAGUGGAAUUCCCGGUGUAGCAGUGAAAUGCGUAGAGAUCGGGAGGAACAUCCGUGGCGAAGGCGACUACCUGGACCAAUACUGACGCUCAGGUGCGAAAGCGUGGGGAGCAAACAGG